GAACGCUGGCGGCGUGCCUAAUACAUGCAAGUCGAGCGAACAGACGAGGAGCUUGCUCCUCUGACGUUAGUGGCGGACGGGUGAGUAACACGUGGAUAACCUACCUAUAAGACUGGGAUAACUUCGGGAAACCGGAGCUAAUACCGGAUAAUAUAUUGAACCGCAUGGUUCAAUAGUGAAAGACGGUUUUGCUGUCACUUAUAGAUGGAUCCGCGCCGCAUUAGCUAGUUGGUAAGGUAACGGCUUACCAAGGCAACGAUGCGUAGCCGACCUGAGAGGGUGAUCGGCCACACUGGAACUGAGACACGGUCCAGACUCCUACGGGAGGCAGCAGUAGGGAAUCUUCCGCAAUGGGCGAAAGCCUGACGGAGCAACGCCGCGUGAGUGAUGAAGGUCUUCGGAUCGUAAAACUCUGUUAUUAGGGAAGAACAAAUGUGUAAGUAACUAUGCACGUCUUGACGGUACCUAAUCAGAAAGCCACGGCUAACUACGUG
rnacentral:rRNA from 1 species